rnacentral:rRNA from 1 species
UACGUAGGGUGCGAGCGUUAAUCGGAAUUACUGGGCGUAAAGUGUGCGCAGGCGGUCGAGCAAGUCGAGUGUGAAAGCCCCGAGCUUAACUUGGGAACUGCGCUCGAAACUACUUGGCUAGAGUGUGGCAGAGGGAGGUGGAAUUCCACGUGUAGCGGUGAAAUGCGUAGAGAUGUGGAGGAACACCGAUGGCGAAGGCAGCCUCCUGGGCCAACACUGACGCUCAUGCACGAAAGCGUGGGGAGCAAAAGGG